GAGUAGAGGAACGAACGCAGUGUAGAAGUGAGAAGACCUAAUUAAUUUCAAACCUAAUUCAAGAAAUCUUCAAACAUAUUUCAGACGCGAAGAAGAACGGAGGAGCAGAAGACUCUUGAAUUCUUGCUUGCUGUUUUAAAUCUGAGAAUAAGGAGAGCUUUACUAUAACAGUGGCAUCGAUUCUUCCCUUUGUUGAACCAUUUGUUUUGAACUGGCAGGCUUGCAGCUCCACAUGGUGCUCUUGACAUCAACUUGCUCGUGAUACACUUCCACAUUUCACAAACAC